AUACGUAGGGUGCGAGCGUUGUCCGGAAUUACUGGGCGUAAAGAGCUCGUAGGUGGUUUGUCGCGUCGUCUGUGAAAUUCCGGGGCUUAACUCCGGGCGUGCAGGCGAUACGGGCAUAACUUGAGUACUGUAGGGGAGACUGGAAUUCCUGGUGUAGCGGUGAAAUGCGCAGAUAUCAGGAGGAACACCGGUGGCGAAGGGGGUUCUCUGGGAAUAAACGGACGCUGAGGAUCCAAAGCAUGGGUGGCGAACAGGAUUAGAUACCCUGGUGGCGCAUGCCGUAAACGGUGGUCUCUAGUUGUAGGGGUCUUCCACGAUUUCUGUGCCGUAGCUAACGCAUUAAGCGCCCCGCCUGGGGAGUACGGCCGCAAGGCUAAAACUCAAAUGAAUUUGUGGGG
rnacentral:rRNA from 1 species